rnacentral:rRNA from 1 species
UGGGGAAUAUUGCACAAUGGGCGCAAGCCUGAUGCAGCCAUGCCGCGUGUGUGAAGAAGGCCUUCGGGUUGUAAAGCACUUUCAGCGGGGAGGAAGGCGGUGAGGUUAAUAACCUCACCGAUUGACGUUACCCGCAGAAGAAGCACCGGCUAACUCCGUGCCAGCAGCCGCGGUAAUACGGAGGGUGCAAGCGUUAAUCGGAAUUACUGGGCGUAAAGCGCACGCAGGCGGUCUGUCAAGUCGGAUGUGAAAUCCCCGGGCUCAACCUGGGAACUGCAAUCGAAACUGGCAGGCUAGAGUCUUGUAGAGGGGGGUAGAAUUCCAGGUGUAGCGGUGAAAUGCGUAGAGAUCUGGAGGAAUACCGGUGGCGAAGGCGGCCCCCUGGACAAAGACUGACGCUCAGGUGCGAAAGCGUGGGGAGCAAACAGG